GACCUGGUGGCACAACGGUUAGUGUGUCUGCUCAAUGUGGUCUAAAAAUCUUGCCGUAUGCAGAAGGUCCCGGUUCGAAUCCGGGUCAGGUCA